ensembl:lncRNA
GAGAAUGCCAAGAGUGUGCAAAGUUGUUAUCAAGGGUGGCUACUUUGAAGAAUCUAAAAUAUAUUUAGAUUAGUUUAACCCUUUUAGUUACUACAUUAUUCCAUGUGUGUUAUUUCAUAGUUUUAAUAUAAGGUGAAAGAAAAAACAUUGAAUGAAUAGGUCCAAACUUUUGACUGGUACUGUAUAUUUUUACCUAAAGUAGUCUUAAAAUGCAAAGUCAAAUAUUUAAAUGAUCCUUUGUAUCCUCUUAAAACAACUCCAUAUGUUAGCGUAAUAGAAUCCCCACCCAGGCUUAGAUUAGAGGAUUAAUGUCCUGCUGAAUUCAAAAUAACCUACAAACCCAAUACUUUCCCUUGUUCCACUUAUUUCCUCUCCUCUCUUGCACUACACUCUUGCCAUGGCUAUUUAUUUAUCUCAGAUUUCUCCCUUUGACUAUCCAUUUGUACCUCCCUACCUCUCUUUAAUUAUCACUUCCUUUCUCAUCUCUCCUCCCUCACUGAUGGUCUCUCUUUCCCUCUCUGUGUCCAUGUAGAACCGGUACAACCAGGCCAAGCUGAGUAUGCAUGACCAGGCUCUGAAGGUGUCAGCAGUGGUAGAAAGUCUGGAGAGGGAGAUGGAGCUUCUGUGUUUGAUUGGGGUUGAGGUCGACAUCAGGCCAAGCCUGGAGCUCCUCAGCAAUGCUGGAAUCAAACUGUGAAUAUAUGGAUGCUUACUGGGGAUAAGCUGGAGACAGCUACUUGUAUCGCUAAAAGCUCCCAUUUGGUGUCCAGAAGUGAAGAUUGGUCUCCAACGGUGGAGAGGCCCAUCUGGAGCUCAAUGCCUUCAGAAGGAAACACGACUGUGCUCUGGUCGUCUCUGGAGACUCCUUGGCGGUACUACAACACAACACACUUCUCACAAGCCUCUCAAGAUGGUACUGUAGAUGUAGCCAAAAAUAUUCUGGUGUCAAAACUAAAACCUUUUGAGUCCAAAACUGCAAGAAGAGCAACAAAGCACAUCAGUUAUGAUUUUAUAAGCAAAACAAACUACAUUUUAUCACUGUUGAUCUGAAGAGAUGGUACAGUAAGUAAUAUGUGAGUGUGCUUGUGGGUUCAGAUGUGUUUGCAUUUUCCAAAUCCAUAUGUUUAUCUUCCCACAUAGUCUGCGGGACUAUGAGCAUGAGUUUGUGGAACUGGCGUGUCAGUGUCCAGCGGUAGUCUGCUGUCGCUGCUCCCCCACUCAGAAAGCCCAGAUCGUCCACCUGCUCAAGCACCACACAGCCAACCGAACCUGUUCCACCUAUGGCACAGGUUUUGUAACAACUAACCACUCUCAUCCUUUGAGACACAGAACUGCUACAAUGAUCUGUGUACAAUGAAUGCCAAAUUAUAAAGUAGAUUGUAGAAAAUGCCUACCAGUAAUAUACCUGUAUCUCACUAUUGACUACUUUGUUUUGAAAAUGAAGAAACUAGACCCAGUAUGAGAAGGUACACCCCUAUUAUGUCCACAAUUAAAGAGCAUAAGCAUCUCUGUUAACAUUGUUUUGUCCUGGGGCAUAAGCCUUAUCUCCAUAUUGCUCUUUUACAUGCUAUUAUUGAACCUGUGGCUGACAUGUGGCUCUCUUGUCUCUCACAUGUGAUGAAGGUAAUGAUGUCAAUAUGAUCCAGGCAGCAGACUGUGGUAUUGGUAUUGAAGGAAAGGUUAAUAAUCCAUAUUACGCCUCUUACCUUAUCCAUUUAUUAUUACAUGAAAUAGUAAAAACAUGAUUUUUUAAACAAAAAUGCAAAACCUGUUACGGGCCCCAUAUUUAGUCGGAUAUGGGGUGUGUCCUUCCCUAGAAUAUGCUCUUAUGCUUUUCCCAUGCAGGAGGAGAAGCAGGCACCCCUGCUUUCUUCAUCACUCAGUUUUUAAGCACAUUGGUCUGCUGCUCGUGGUCCACGGCAGGAACAGCUACAAGCGCUCAGCAGCCCUGGGCCAGUUUGACAAGCACAGAGGCAUUUGUUAAUCAGUUAAUCAGUAUUUACCAGAGGGUUGACAGGAUACUCCUGUAGCUUUCUGAGUUAGAUUUCCUUAACACAGUUCUAAUGAUGAAUACUAACACACAGGGAAGGGUGCUGAGAAACAUAAUGGAUAUUAGGAAUGUAACAGGUGUUGGCCAGGUGCACAAACUCUUAUAUCCAAAGGAUCCAUCCGCACAGUAUAGCAGCUUUCCUGAAAGCAAUCUGAAUGACGAGCAGCAUAGUGGCUAAACCACAUUUUUAUUACUCACUUUUUGUCCAGGCAACACACUUCUAUUUCAUCAUUUUUACUAUGUGCAAAACUUCAGUCCACUUUCCCUUGACUCUCAGACAGUCCUGUUUCUCGGUAGCUUAGGUUACCAAGAGUCAUCCACAGUUACAUCCAGACUUUUGUCUGUUCUGUAAAUCAAUAUGUCUGUAAUCACUAAGCCAUGCAGCGUGUUGAAAAAGAUCUUAAGUUCCUACUGAAGUGUACCUUCCUGACAGCUUUCGUUUUUUAAUUAAAGGCCUAAUACCAAUGAAAAACAGGCCACGAUCGUCAGUUUUAAUUUGUCAUCUAGUUUAACUCUCAGGAAUGCACUGUAUGUAGACUGUAUGGAAAAGGCAAUUAUGUGAUCAGUUAUAGGCAAUUAAGCUCAAUUCGCAGAGCGUUAGGAUUAAAUGAUAGGCACAACCAUAGAAUAGAUGAAUGAGUGUCAAG